ensembl:snoRNA LOC120100404 small nucleolar RNA SNORA48
CCCCCCUGAGAACGGGCGAAGAGUCACCUUGUUAAUGGUGGUGUUCUUCUAUCGUCACGGGCAGCGCAGAUGGCAGCCGUUGUUCAUCCUAGCCUGACGCCUGGCUUGGUAGCCAAUGCCGUUUUAUGCCUAGGACUCAUAA